rnacentral:rRNA from 1 species
GAUGAACGCUGGCGGCGUGCCUAAUACAUGCAAGUCGAGCGAACAGAUGAGGAGCUUGCUCCUCUGACGUUAGCGGCGGACGGGUGAGUAACACGUGGAUAACCUACCUAUAAGACUGGGAUAACUUCGGGAAACCGGAGCUAAUACCGGAUAAUAUAUUGAACCGCAUGGUUCAAUAGUGGAAGACGGUUUUGCUGUCACUUAUAGAUGGAUCCGCGCCGCAUUAGCUAGUUGGUAAGGUAACGGCUUACCAAGGCAACGAUGCGUAGCCGACCUGAGAGGGUGAUCGCCCACCCUGGAACUGCGCCACGGUCCAGACUCCUACGGGAGGCAGCAGUAGGGAAUCUUCCGCAAUGGGCGAAAGCCUGACGGAGCAACGCCGCGUGAGUGAUGAAGGUCUUCGGAUCGUAAAACUCUGUUAUUAGGGAAGAACAAAUGUGUAAGUAACUAUGCACGUCUUGACGGUACCUAAUCAGAAAGCCACGGCUAACUACGUG